CAUGUAGCGCUCCUCCUCAGCUCCACCCUCUCCUCAAGUCACCUGUGGCUCCAGCGUCUCUUUGAUUCAUUCCCUCAGCGGACAGGUGGGAUCUAAAAAAGGAACAGGAGCUGAAAUCAAAAGAAGAGACCUGAACAUAACAACAGAGGAGACAGGAAGCAGCACAGAGGACACAGACAGGAUGAGGUUGAAUGAACAGACCGACAACGAGAGAGAAGAAGAAAAGACGAGAGACAAGUGUCAAUGCUGAGACCUCAAAGCAAACGACUCCAUUUAAAGAGGAGACGGACGAGUUUGGAGACAAGAGGUCGGCACAACAUUUAGAAUCAGC